ACUCCCAAAACUUAGAUUUUUGAUUACCCGCUCACUACUACCUCUUCUUCUCAUCUCAGUCGUGUGCCCUAAAUCCCCAAAUAAAAGUUUGUUUUUCUUCAGCUGAAAUCCCCCAAAUUUCCCAUUUCCAACAACAACAGUCAAUACACCUACACCAAUUACACUUCUUUUUCCUUUUCAUUUCACUGCACUGAAUUCACUCACCAUAGCUACUCAUUUUCUCUCAAUCUGUUAGGGUUUCUUUUAAUUUUAGGCUUUCAAUACAGUUUCCUUUUAAACUGGAAGGAGUUGAAAGAUAAAGGAAACGAAGAGGGGAGUAAGGCUGUUCGCUGAAAUAAAGAGAUAAAAAAAAAGGUUGAAGAAGAUGAUUUUCAGGUUUUUUUUACGGUAAGGUGUUCCACGAGCACCUUCUUGGAAUUAACUGUGUUAAAUGGAGCUGCUUCCUUUUCACUGUUUACUUGGCAUAUUGGUUGGUUACAAUGUAUAACUCUCUCUUUAGUGUAAUUUCUUUGCUUUGAUUAUAGUAAUUUGUCUAACCGGGUUGUCACUUGGCUACAACUUUUGGAAUCCAUGGUUUAUUGUGUGAGUGGUUUCGAUGAAGCUGUGGGGAGUUUGCGAUUUCAUC
rnacentral:lncRNA from 1 species